rnacentral:rRNA from 1 species
GACGAACGCUGGCGGCGUGCCUAAUACAUGCAAGUCGAACGCAUUUUCUUUCACCGUAGCUUGCUACACCGAAAGAAAAUGAGUGGCGAACGGGUGAGUAACACGUGGGUAACCUGCCCAUCAGCGGGGGAUAACACUUGGAAACAGGUGCUAAUACCGCAUAAUUCCAUUUACCGCAUGGUAGAUGGGUGAAAGGCGCUUUUGCGUCACUGAUGGAUGGACCCGCGGUGCAUUAGCUAGUUGGUGGGGUAACGGCCUACCAAGGCUGCGAUGCAUAGCCGACCUGAGAGGGUGAUCGGCCACACUGGGACUGAGACACGGCCCAGACUCCUACGGGAGGCAGCAGUAGGGAAUCUUCGGCAAUGGACGCAAGUCUGACCGAGCAACGCCGCGGGAGUGAAGAAGGUUUUCGGAUCGUAAAACUCGGUUGUUAGAGAAGAACAAGGAUGAGAGUGGAAAGUUCAUCCCUUGACGGUAUCUAACCAGAAAGCCACGGCUAACUACGUG